UUGGAGGAAUACCGGUGGCGAAGGGCGGCCCCCUGGACAAAAGACUGACGCUCAGGUGCGAAAGCGUGGGGAGCAAACAGGGAUUAGAUACCCUGGUAGUCCACGCCGUAAACGAUGUCGACUUGGAGGUUGUGCCCAUUUGAGGCGUGGCUUCCGGAGCUAACGCGUUAAGUCGACCGCCUGGGGGAGUACGGCCGCAAGGUUAAAACUCAAAUGAAUUGACGGGGGCCCGCACAAGCGGUGGAGCAUGUGGUUUAAUUCGAUGCAACGCGAAGAACCUUACCUACUCUUGACAUCCAGAGAACUUAGCAGAGAUGCUUUGGUGCCUUCGGGAACUCUGAGACAGGUGCUGCAUGGCUGUCGUCAGCUCGUGUUGUGAAAUGUUGGGUUAAGUCCCGCAACGAGCGCAACCCUUAUCCUUUGUUGCCAGCGGUUAGGCCGGGAACUCAAAGGAGACUGCCAGUGAUAAACUGGAGGAAGGUGGGGAUGACGUCAAGUCAUCAUGGCCCUUACGAGUAGGGCUACACACGUGCUACAAUGGCGCAUACAAAGAGAAGCGACCUCGCGAGAGCAAGCGGACCUCAUAAAGUGCGUCGUAGUCCGGAUUGGAGUCUGCAACUCGACUCCAUGAAGUCGGAAUCGCUAGUAAUCGUGGAUCAGAAUGCCACGGUGAAUACGUUCCCGGGCCUU
rnacentral:rRNA from 1 species